rnacentral:misc_RNA from 1 species
GACAGGUCGUGAACCAGCAAAUAUCCCAACUCAACGGCACGGUGCCGUGGGAAGCCUCGCCGUUUACGGCGAGGAGGAGGUCACCAGGCUGAUGUAG